GCGGGAAUAGCUCAGUUGGUAGAGCAUAACCUUGCCAAGGUUGGGGUCGCGAGUUCGAGUCGUCGUUUCCCGCUCCA
rnacentral:tRNA from 1 species